GGUAGUAACACGUGGGUAACCUACCUAUAAGACUGGGAUAACUUCGGGAAACCGGAGCUAAUACCGGAUAAUAUUUCGAACCGCAUGGUUCGAUAGUGAAAGGUGGUUUUGCUAUCACUUAUAGAUGGACCCGCGCCGUAUUAGCUAGUUGGUAAGGUAACGGCUUACCAAGGCGACGAUACGUAGCCGACCUGAGAGGGUGAUCGGCCACACUGGAACUGAGACACGGUCCAGACUCCUACGGGAGGCAGCAGCG
rnacentral:rRNA from 1 species